AACGAACGCUGGCGGCAGGCCUAACACAUGCAAGUCGAACGCCGUAGCAAUACGGAGUGGCAGACGGGUGAGUAACGCGUGGGAACAUACCCCUCGGUUCGGAAUAACUCAGGGAAACUUGAGCUAAUACCGGAUACGUCCGAGGUUUUGAUCGACCUUGGAGAAAGAUUUAUCGCCGAAGGAUUGGCCCGCGUCUGAUUAGCUUGUUGGUGAGGUAAUGGCUCACCAAGGCGACGAUCAGUAGCUGGUCUGAGAGGAUGAUCAGCCACAUUGGGACUGAGACACGGCCCAAACUCCUACGGGAGGCAGCAGUGGGGAAUAUUGGACAAUGGGCGAAAGCCUGAUCCAGCCAUGCCGCGUGAGUGAUGAAGGCCU
rnacentral:rRNA from 1 species